rnacentral:lncRNA from 9 species
CGGCAGAGAGUGGAGGUGGAAUCGUGAUGCACUCGGUUAGGGAGGAUGGGCGGCCGGCAGACAGGAGGGAGGCUGUUGUGUGGGGUCUGAGUCAGGGACUCCUGCCAGUGCUCCCCCGGGAUGGACUUAGGGCAGAAGCGGACCUUCCCUCUUAGUUCAUGUUGCUCCCGAAUGUCGGUUGCCCUGGGACUGGUCACGUCCACAGUGAUUUGCCUUUGAGAGUGAAAGGCACCAAGAGAUUUUCUGAAAGGUGUUAAGUAGACAGAAUGGGCGAGGUAAGGAAGGGACACGUCACAGGCCAGUGAGGUCCUGCUGAAACCCCAGGCCAAGGCGGUGGCGGAGGGGGGGACUGCCCGGAGUGGGGGCCACGGCCUCAAGUGAACCCAGGGCAGCCACUCAGGAAGUGACCUCGGGGUCUGUCCUCGGGAUGGCAGCGGGGUGGGCAGAUCUGGAGGCUGAGCCCUGGGCACGGGUCUAUGGUAACAGCGCAGAUGUGAUGUCUGCAGAUGUUGAACAGGUGGGUCUUUGGAAGCCUGGAGAGGCCACUGAGAUCAACGGUGGUGGCUGUUCUUUGCUCAGGGAGGGAGCUGAGACCCUGGGCUGAAGGCUGCCCGUGGCCUCUCCACGGUCUGGGUUGUGCCACAUGGGCCCUGGUCCCUUCUCCCAUCACUGGCUGUGCCUUUCCUCCUGUGCAGGAUUCGCUGAGCCUCCCAGCGGCAGCCCCGCGAAUGCGGGCCAAGAGGAGGGCCCUGGCACCCACGGUGGCCAGGCAGGAGGGCAGCCAGAUGGCUUCCUGGUGACACAGCCCCCAUUGCAGGCGAGCGGCUUCCUGCUCACCCAGAGCCCCCCAGAGCUGGCCCUGGCCCCGCCUGCCUUCGCCGGCCCCCUGCCCACCGUGGAGCUGAGCCAGCCCCUGCCUUCCAGCCAGGUGAGGCCUCCUGUGAGGUUCAGGCUUUUCCUCCUAACUCCUGGUCCCUCAGCGUGUGCCUUUGGGGCGAAGAAAAUGGGCAGAGGUGCAGCGGGGCAGGGAUAGCUGGAGGCUGGACCCCAGUGGCACGGGGCCUGGGGCGGGUGUCAUGGGGCAGGUUCUUCCUGAGGGCAGAGCCAGCAGGCGGUGCCUCGACUGUGACGUGCUGUUGGCUUUCCAGGUGCAGUGGCCCGACGCCCAGGCCUCCGGUGACACCUUCUGGGGAGCCAGGAUGCUCCUGGAGCUUUCAGGGGGCAGCCUGGGCUGAGCUGCCCUCUGGAGGCUGGCCGGUGCCCCAGGGGAGCAGGCGUGGACACCUGGCAGCACCCGUCACAGAGCUUGCUCCCUACUGAAGAAGGAUGUCCCCAGGGUCCCCCGGGGGUGUCGCCGAGAAGCACUGAGAACUGCUGGGCCCCCUGGCCUGUUGAAUGGUUUGGUGGGCAACUCCCCAUAUGGGAGGAAGCCUCUGAGAAAGGAGCCUGAGGUCGGAGGUUGGGGGUGGGGGGGUCCUUGUGCUCAGGCAGCAGCAGUUUGCGGUCAGGCUCCCGGGCAGGCUGGGCAGUGGAGGCCGUGCUGCAGGGAGGAGGCUGCUGCUCUCCCUGCCGCCACCUGUCCUGUGACAAGGCCAGGCCUGUCUGUGGGCCUGGCGAGUGAGGAGUGGGUGGCCUUUGCCCUUUGCGUCUGAGGCUUCCGCACAGGCGCGCGGGUCUGGGGAGGGCCGGUCGGGGGCAGCUUUUCCUCUCGUUGGGAUGCGUGGUGUUUGCCGAGCAGAUGUUCUGUCAGUUAAAGUAAAGGUUAAUGUUCUGAGCUCCCCUUGGCUCACGUCACUGUCCCGGACGCCUGCCCGUCUCGGGCCUGGCGAGCGUUUCGUGGUGGGGGUGCGCUGAGCCCGCAUCCCUGUGGCUGGACACUUGGACCCUUUCCAGCAUCUGUGCUGUAUGAGCAGCAGCGCGUGGGCACCAGUGCCCUCUGCCCUUCAUCUGCAGGUUAUUUUGCUGCAGGAACAAGGAGUUGCCUGGAGGUGGGAGCAAAGGUGCCGAGCGCACCGGCGCCGCGGCCCGGGGGCUGCGACUCCCCUUUGCGGGUUGACUUGACCCCAGGGACCCUCAUCUCUGGGAAGGGGCCCUUGACCCUCACCCCCCACCCCCGUCGUGUUAGAGGACAGGGGUGACAGAGCAGGGAGCAAAGUCAGGUGUGCACUCGCUCAGGGCUGAGGGUCGGGGAGGCCGAGGACUGAGGGGCGCCUACAGGUAGCUGCUGGAGGAUGGUGUGAGGGGCCGCCACUGAGAACCCGGGACACUGAGGAGACACGGGGGGCCUUUGUGCUCAGCACCCCCCAGGGGCUCUCAGCCGCACUGCUUCCCUGCCCCACGUGCUGUCUCCACCGCCAGAACCCAGGGCACCGACGGGCCCUGCACUCGGAUCAUGACACACAUUCUAGGUUCCCUAAAGCCCGGGCCUUUCCGUCUUUGGAACCAUUGAAAACUUCCAAACAGUCGAGAGUGGAAUACAAAGACCUUCCUUGCUUUGAACCACUCGAGAAUCGGUUCCUGCCCGAACCCCCGGUGUCCGUCGGACAAGGGAUUCUGCACCCCACAGGGCCUCCAUCAGACUCGGGAGACCAGUCCUGGUGCGUCCUAGUUGCCAGACCCCGAGAAAGUUGUUGGUGGUCCCAGCGAUGCCCUGAACUGGGAGAGAAUCCAGAUCCACCCGCAGCACGAGCUGCACUUCCUUGACACGUCGUUCAGUGUCCCUCAGCUUGGAGUGGUCCCUAGUUCUUCCCGGACUCCGUGACCUUGACACUUGAGGGUCCCUCUGUGGCGUGUUCCCCAGCGUGGCCAUGUGGAGGUUUCCUUGUACCUGGGCUGCGCAUUUUGGAAGGUAUGUCCCAGGCUGUGCGUGGGCCUUGCUGUGUCCCCCGGGCGGACAUGAGUUUGUUCCAAGUCACUGAUGGUGCCCACCUCCGUCUCUGGGUUAGGGCGCUGCCCCCCCAAACUUCCCCUCCAUAAAGCUGCUCUUUUUCUCCUCGUGUAAAUGUUUUUGGGGGGUGGUGCUUUGAAGCAAUGCCGAUAUCCUGUCUCAUCAAACUUUAAUUAACUGAUGUUUCCCUAAUCUGUACUUAAUUUUCAUAAUUCAUGAACACGUUACUCUCUCUUUUACCCCAUUUCUGGGAUCUCAACCCCCCCGCCCCCGGCUCACAGUGUACAUGGAGUCACCAUGAGUCCCAUCACCUUUAUGACCUCCUGUUCUCCCAAGUGGCGAUCGGUUCAAGAACCGAGUCCCCCGGCUCCUCACUUUACCCGCCCUCAUCCAUGUUACUGGAAAGAUGUUCCCGGGAUCUGGGUUCUUGUUCAUGGAACUGAAGAAUGGGCUUCAAAAACACACAGGCAGCCAGCAAGCAACGUCUUGUUAAGGGAAAGCAGAUAGCUCCCCGCACAGACGCUGGGAGCGGGAGGAAGGGUCCCCCAGUCUAUUGUCCUACAGCGGUUUUAUCUCUUACAGAUAGGAGGACCAACGUGGGGUCCAGGUAGUGAUUCUUUUUCCCCUUGGCCUUGCCCAGUUUGCCUGUGUCGGUCCUUGUCCAGGAGGGGUCUUAGAGGUGGAAAUGCCCCGAAAGUUUUAUGGUCCCUUUGCUCAUCUCGUCCCCAGAUUGGGAGUCACCAUUCCUCUUAGUCCUUUUCUAUCAGUUGAGGAGUGGGUUAGAGAUGAACGUCCACCUGGGUGGAAAACAAAUAUACUUCCUGCAGUAAACAAGGCUGGUCGGGAUGUCACUCCCUGGAAACCUUAAGUCACAGACAUUAAUCCAUGACCCUAUCAAAGACUAUAUCGAAGCCCAUGUACCUACACUAACUAUCUAAAUUAUGAUUCUGCCUCAUCCCCACAGCCUGACACCACAAGGCAGCACACUCUUCGAGGUCAAUCACCCCCAUUCAUCCAAAUUCUGCCCAGAACAUCAGCCCAAUUAAUGAACAUGCUCUGGGCCUGGGGGUUGGGAGUAUAACGCCCUGGGCUGCUACGGGAUGUGGAGCCCCCCAGUCUUCCCAGCAAACACACAAAGCAGAGCUCUGGGCCUGUCAUCAUGUCUGUCUGUGGGCUUUCCUGCAGCCAGCAGAGCCUGGAGCCUAGCCAGCAGGCUCCUGUGUGGGGGCUGGGCAUAGUCAGGCAAGGCCCUGGUGAAGGGGUCCUGUGAGCACCUCCAGGGCGCUUGCCUGCAACCUGUUCUUGGCAGACACUGGGCUCCAUCUGUGAAAGUGCAAGCACCCUACUUGGCUGCCUGCAUCAGGUCUGCUUUGGGGAAAAUGGCCUGGAGUUUCUGGAGCUGACUCUUGACAGAUUGGAUCUCCUGUGGAGAGCGACCUUGCCCAGUCACACCUAUGGACUGGGACAGGAGGCUUCUCCCCUAAUCCCACUCAGCCCCAGGGGCAGGGGCCUGCCCUUAGCAUCCUGCCCAACAGGCCCCUACCCACCGCUUCUCUCACUGCUUCCUGGCUUGACUCCAGGCCCUUCUGACAAGAGGGUGUUGGCUCCAGUCUCUUCUGCUCUCCCCUUCUUCAAGGGCCAGCCUCGGCCAUUGUCCCCAACUCCUGAUGGCUGGGGGAGGGGCCCAGAGGACUGUGAUGGGGCAAGGGGUCUGGCUCUUCCUGGGCUCUGGGCUCCAGGAACAGCAAGGGGGGUUCCGUGACCAGGUCCAGGGAGCCCCCCUCUCCUGAUCCUCAUCCUCCCUGGGCCCCAGGAGGCUGAGAACUUGGCCAGAGCCCCCAGCGUCAGGGCCAGAAGUGCCCCCGGCACUGGCCAUGGUCUGUGAAGGACCCUGCCUCCCCCCACCUUCCGUGGUCUGGAGAGAGGAGGACAGAGCAGAGGGUACCUGUGUCCAUGUCUUAGGGCUGCUAUAACAAAGUGCCACCAACUAGAUGACUGAGAACCACAGAAAUUUGCCUCCUGGUCUGGAUGCUGUACAUCUGGCCUCAGGUGUUGCCAAGGCCUUCAGGCUCAGUCCAGCCCUGCUGGUUCUUGGCUUGGGACAGCAUGGCCCAUUCCUCCCAAGUUUGUGUGUGUGUGUGUGGGGGGGGGCCAGAUUCUGUCUUUGAAUAUCAGCACAAUCCUGGUGAGUUAGGGCCAACCUGAAUUCUUCCAUCUGUGUUGAUCCUCUGCAAAGUCCCCAUUUCCAUAGACCAUCACCUUCCUAGGUACUUAGAGUCUGGACUUGAACAUGUGCAUUUCUGGGGAGCACAGUUCAAUCCACUGGAGUGUCCCUGCCUCUGCCGGUGACCUCAGUCCCCUGCCUCUGCCAAGGCACUGUGGUCCCUCCAGGGCCACCCAUCACUCUUCCGGGGCCUCAAGCAGAAGACUGAAUUCUUCUUGGUUGCUGGCCUUGGUCUGGCACUGGGGUCAUCUGCCCAGUGAGGGCUGGGCUUGGAGGUGCUAGAGUAUUGGAGGUGGGACAGCUGGAGGCCUGGUUCUCUGGGCGCUGAUCCUGUGAGGACCCGUUUCCAGGGGCUCCAGGUCCCAAAGGCAAAGUCUCUUUUGGUUCAGACAGGACUCCCCCUCUCCUCUGUGUGCCUGUGGAGCCUGGGGGUUUGGGAGGAGCCUCCCCAGAGCCAGAUCCCUGUGGGCAGGAGAGGUGGGACCCAGACCGUGUCAUUUGUGUCCAGAGAGCCUCACAGUGUGGAGGGGAAUGAGGCGCAGACAUCCUCAGCUGCUGCCCAGCAUUGGAUCCUCAUGUGAACCCACUUCCAGGAGCCCAGCCCUGGGGACCCCAGUGCAGUGUGUGUGUAACAGCAUCUGUGGCUUGCAUGGCUUCUUGUGGACCAGGCCUGGGUGUCAGACAGCAGGGACACGUCUUUCAGGCGGCCAGCCACCCUAUUCACUUGACUCACUCUGUCCUGGGGGCACCUGAGUAAGGAGCCACUUAGAGGCCCUGCGGUUGUGGAUGAGCCACAUCUCAUGCUGGGCCUAACACCUCAGUGGUUUUUGUGUUUUAA